rnacentral:piRNA from 1 species
UGAAGUUUGGCCAAGCUCCUCCAGCAA